rnacentral:rRNA from 1 species
UACGUAGGGUGCGAGCGUUGCCCGGAUUUAUUGGGCGUAAAGGGCGCGCAGGCGGCUCGGCACGUCCGUUGUGAAAUCGCCCGGCUCAACUGGGCGGGGUCAGCGGAUACGGUCGAGCUUGAGCAAGCUAGGGGGCAAUGGAAUUCCCGGUGUAGUGGUGGAACGCGUAGAUAUCGGGAGGAACACCAGUGGCGAAGGCGGUUGCCUGGAGCUUUGCUGACGCUGAGACGCGAAAGCGUGGGGAGCAAACAGG